UCAAAUGUCUUCCAGCCACAGCCUGGCUCUGCUUGACCCUUCCUGCCCUCCUCUGGUAUCCCUUUCCCCUCCAAUCAGGGUCUUUACUCACACUGACCUCCUCUGCUUCUUUGUGCUUACUUAACCCUUUCCUGCCUCAGGGCUUUUGCACUUGUGUCUUCUAGUGGGAACAACAUUUGUUUUUCUUGCCCUUUCCAUCGCUGGCUAUCUCUCUGGGUCUGGCAUAAACUUCCCCAUUUCAGAAAAGCCUGCCGUGUCAGUGAGGGUCUACGGAGAACACAGCGAGCAAGGUUGGUUCCGGGACUUCGCUGCUGGGAAUAGUGCUGCAGUAAACAUGGAUGUGCAAAUAGCUCUGUGAUGCACUGAUGCGGAGUCUUUUGGACAGUGUCUCACUGAGCUUGAAGCGGUCCAUUGGCUGUCCAUAAACCUGAGGGAUCCUCCCGUCUUUCUCCACAGCACUGGCACCUGUGGAGGGACAAUUUCUUGGUCUGUUUCUGCUGCUCAUAACACAACACCACAGACUGGGGAAGUGUCAGCUUGAGGCCUGACAUCUGGCACAGCUGGAGAACCUGCCUCAUCUCAGACUCACACCCAUCCCACCUCUGGUUUCUCCAGCAGGAGGGUGGGUUCAAAAGUCACCAUGGGCACCUUUGGGUCUCAUUGAUGAACGGUUCAGCUCUUCAGCCCUGCGGCCUGGUGUUUUCUGACAGUUCUGUGUCUUCCUGAGCAUUAAGGAGUGUUUCCCAGGAUACAUGCAUGUCAAUGCUAAUGCCAUCUUACCCCAGUGUUGACAGCAGUAACCUAAAGAAAGUGGUAAGCAAGCUAGAAUUCACUGUGAGGAGAAAUGCAGCUGAUGAAGACGAAGACAGUUUAGUCACCUGGUUCUCGUCAUCUUGGCACAUUAAGCCCAAAUUGGUCAAUUGUUCAUCGCGGCGACCAAAGCAGCUACGAGGACGCCUCCAGGGAAGGGAUUAUUUCCUUGGCUCCAAGGUUUCUGCCCACAGUCUGUGGCUUUGUUGCUUCUGGGCCCAUGGUGAGGCAGACAUCACAGGGGUGGGAGGAUGUGGCAGAGGCCCCUGGCCUCUUCUCAUGGCAGACACGAAGCAAAGACGGAGGGAGGGUAGAGGGAGCUGGGACACGAUCCAGUCCUCCAGGAAGCACCUCCAGGAACCUGCUGCCCCCAACUUAUCUUGCCUUCCAUCCCAGACCUUAUAGAGCCUCCCUAAAUAGCUACCCUUCAAUGCAUGGCAGCCAUUUUAUACCUAAACCCUAACUAACCCCAGCUGCCUGAGACAUUGUCAAUGCCUGAAGCUUUACUGGCAGAAGAGGAGGAUUCAUAAUGACCCCCACUCCAGCGGAUUCUGGACACCCUCCCCCCCAUUAAAGAGCCUACUUUCCAGCA